UACGAAGGGGGCUAGCGUUGCUCGGAAUGACUGGGCGUAAAGGGUGCGUAGGUGGCUUGUUAAGUCAGGGGUGAAAGUUUUCGGCCCAACCGGAAAAUGGCCUUUGAUACUGGCGAGCUCGAGUGCGUGAGGGGUAACCGGAACGAGCAGUGUAGCGGUGAAAUGCGUAGAUAUUGCUCGGAAGGCCAACGGCGAAGGCAGGUUACUGGUGCGCAACUGACACUGAGGCACGAAAGCGUGGGGAGCAAACAGG
rnacentral:rRNA from 1 species